rnacentral:lncRNA from 1 species
UAUUAAAUAUGUUAUUUCCUUUUUAAAUAAAACUGCUCAACAGGUAAUCAGCAAUGAAUCAUCUUGCAGCUAUGCAACUUAAAAAAGAUAAUUACCAAUUUUAAGUGCUGCCAGCUAUAAUAACUUUGUUUUAACGGGUAUUUUUAUUUGUUCUUUUCAUGUAAUGUGCUUUGCAUCUCCAGGCAGUUUUCCUACAUUUAGGUAAAAUGUUUAGCAGGUUGUAAUACUUUAAUAACUUAUGAAAAGGGUAAAAUAAAAUUUUCUUGAGUGGAACUUGGAAUAAUUUGAGGGACAUUUUUAUAUACUUUUAAAAAUCAGAAUUUAAUUGGGAUGCCAGAUUUAUAGCAAUUUGCAUCUUUAAUUUUCCAGAUAAUCUGGAGUUUAGCAUUUGAUAAAUGAUUUUUUAAAGCAGACAUGAAGAUUUUG